rnacentral:rRNA from 1 species
UACGAAGGGGGCUAGCGUUGUUCGGAAUUACUGGGCGUAAAGCGCACGUAGGCGGAUAGACAAGUUGGGGGUGAAAUCCCGGGGCUCAACCUCGGAACUGCCUUCAAAACUGUCUGUCUAGAGGUCAGGAGAGGUUAGCGGAAUACCGAGUGUAGAGGUGAAAUUCGUAGAUAUUCGGUGGAACACCAGUGGCGAAGGCGGCUAACUGGACUGAUACUGACGCUGAGGUGAGAAAGUGUGGGGAGCAAACAGG